rnacentral:rRNA from 1 species
UACGAAGGGGGCUAGCGUUGCUCGGAAUCACUGGGCGUAAAGCGCACGUAGGCGGCUUGUUAAGUCAGGGGUGAAAUCCUGGAGCUCAACUCCAGAACUGCCUUUGAUACUGGCGAGCUUGAGUUCGAGAGAGGUGAGUGGAAUUCCGAGUGUAGAGGUGAAAUUCGUAGAUAUUCGGAGGAACACCAGUGGCGAAGGCGGCUCACUGGCUCGAUACUGACGCUGAGGUGCGAAAGCGUGGGGAGCAAACAGG